CUCAGUGUACAGACGCACACAAAGCCAGUUAGCGACAUAGCAAGUUAGCACUGUAUUAGAAAAAGAUAUGUUUAUAAGAUAAGGAGCAUCAUACUUCAACUGUUCUUCAGGGACACAUCAUAACAAAAGUACAUCUAUUCUCAAGAAAAAGGCAUCAUGGAUAGCUCCACAUCAAUUGGGAUAGCCGUGGCGUUUGGGAUCUUGGGAUUGUUCCUGCUGAUAUGUUUGAUGCAGAUAUGCUGCAAGAAAAUCAAACGCUGCAAGCGCAAAAACCAGUCGGUGAAAGACAAAAUUUUAAUGAAAUUCGGGAUGAAGAAUUUGCCUCCGUUUUCAAUCAGCAGAAUCGUUGACAAGAAAUAACGGCCAUCAUUCUCUCAAUUCCUGUAAAUAGUGUACAUGCAUCCUGAAAUAAUCUAAUUUAGUCCAUGUUUUCUUUAUUUACAGCACUAAACUAUAAUUAUUUCCAUGUUAUGAUUUGCUAACAUCUGUCAACUUAUUUAUUUUUUAUUUCUGUGAAAAGUGUGAAUCACUUCUGAAGUGAAGGUGUCAGUGAUGAGAAUGAUUCAUAACUGGUUAUGAUCGCUUUCCCACAGCCAGGGAAAAGCAGCACAACUUGUUUUAUUAAGAACGCUUCUCUUAUUGUUUUUCUCAUUCUCUGACUCAAAAUUUGUCUCCAUAUCUUGCUUUUCAGUCUCACCAAAAAAACAUAGCGAAGCCUUUUUCUCAAGCAGAACCAUUUUAAAGGUUACCAUAUAAACUGAUGAAAUAUCAGUCUUUGGUUUCAGUAGAAUGAUCACAUCAUCCUCAUCGUGAUUGUAAUGAAGUCUUCAUGAGUGAUAUAUUUGCUGUUAUGCAAUAUAAUGUGUGUGAUGUGAUUUGGAUCUGUAUUUCUAUACAUCAUAUCUGAUGUCAAGGAAAGUGUGGUCAUGUUUGUAUAUUUUUCAGUUUAAUGUGUGUGUGCACGCAUGCAUGAUGUGUGCAUGUGUCAAUCUGCUAA